rnacentral:rRNA from 1 species
ACACGACUACAUUAGAUACCCCUGUAGUCCUAGCCGUAAACGAUACUCGCUAGGUGUCGGCCACGGUGCGACCGUUGUCGGUGCCGUAGGGAAGCCGUGAAGCGAGCCACCUGGGAAGUACGGCCGCAAGGCUAGAAACUUAAAGGAAUUGGCGGGGGAGCACAACAACGGGUGGAGCUUGCGGUUUAAUUGGAUUCAACGCCGGAAAUCUUACCGGGACCGACAGCAACAUGAAGGCCAAGCUGAAGACUUUGCCGGAUUAGCUG